rnacentral:rRNA from 1 species
UUUGGCGCCACAACACAGGGCAUUGCCUCAGUAACGGCGAGUGAAGCGGCAAUAGCUCAAAUUUGAAAGCUGGCGCAAGCCCGCAUUGUAAUUUGCAGAGGAUGCUUCGGGUGUGGUACCGGUCUAAGUUCCUUGGAACAGGACGUCAUAGAGGGUGAGAAUCCCGUAUAUGGCUGGUUACCUACGCCUAUGUGAAGCUCCUUCGACGAGUCGAGUUGUUUGGGAAUGCAGCUCAAAAUGGGUGGUGUACUCCAUCUAAAGCUAAAUAUUGGCCAAAGACCGAUAGCGCACAAGUAGAGUGAUCGAAAGAUGAAAAGCACUUUGGAAAGAGAGUUAAACAGUACGUGAAAUUGUUGAAAGGGAAGCGCUUGCAAUCAGACUUGCGCGGCGUCGAUCAGCUUGGGUUCUCCCUCGCGCACUCGGCGCCGUUCAGGCUAGCAUCAGUUUCGGCGGUUGGAUAAAGGCCUAGGGAAUGUGAGUGGCUUCGGCCACUGUUAUAGCCCUAGGUGUAAUGCAGCCUGCUGGGACUGAGGACCGCGCUUCGGCUAGGAUGCUGGCGUAAUGGUUGUAAGCGACCCGUCUUGAAACACGGACCAAGGAGUUGACGACUAAUGCGAGUGUUUGGGUGUUAAACCCAUACGCGUAAUGAAAGUGAACGGAGGUGAGAGUCCUUAAGGAUGCAUCAUCGACCGAUCCUGAUGUCUUCGGAUGGAUUUGAGUAAGAGCAUUAUUCGUCUGACCCGAAAGAUGGUGAACUAUGCCUGAAUAGGGUGAAGCCAGAGGAAACUCUGGUGGAGGCUCGCAGAGGUUCUGACGUAGAGAGGAUUUGUGCGUCUGACAGCGCCCGUACGCGGCGCUAGUAGGGCCCUAGGGCCCUGCGACACUGUCAAUAUGGGGGGAGAUCCAGCGCGUGCGCUGGGUGAUCCGCAGCGAAGCUCCAGGAGCUACGUUCAGAGACUAGAUGACAGUGGGCUCCAGCGCGAGCUUGAGGUAUAGUCCGUCCCGGGCAGCGAUGCUUUACGGGAAGCGCACGGCAAAUCGAUCUUCAAAUUUGGGUAUAGGGGCGAAAGACUAAUCGAACCAUUGAUAAACUACUUAGGUGGUUGAGAGGCCUGGCAACCGGGCCUAGUCGCAGCAGCGGCUAUACUGCAAAACUGCGGGGACAGCUCUAUAGGCGCAGGCUACUACAGCGGGCUCGAAAGGGCCCGCCACAGUAACAAAGCCGCGCGCCUGGGCCGAUCCGCAACCAACGCCUAAGGCGCACGCGCUCCCUACCCGGGGGUCGCAACCAGCCAGCCUACCCGGCGGUUGGGCGCUACGGCGAGGGCUCAUCGACUAGAUGGCAGUGGGUUACUCGCGCAGCGGGAAGCCUAAGGGAUAGUCAGACUCCAGCGGCGCGCAACGCUGAGUAUCGCUAGCGUU